UUUAAAGCAAUCUAAAUUAAAACCUUCCAUCAAAACUCCAUGUUAAUUUGUGUUCCAGACACCAGCUGAACCUGAUGGCAAAAUGUAUUUUAUGUAACA